AGCGGCGGCGGGUGAGUAAUGUCUGGGAAACUGCCUGAUGGAGGGGGAUAACUACUGGAAACGGUAGCUAAUACCGCAUAACGUCUUCGGACCAAAGAGGGGGACCUUCGGGCCUCUUGCCAUCAGAUGUGCCCAGAUGGGAUUAGCUAGUAGGUGAGGUAAUGGCUCACCUAGGCGACGAUCCCUAGCUGGUCUGAGAGGAUGACCAGCCACACUGGAACUGAGACACGGUCCAGACUCCUACGGGAGGCAGCAGUGGGGAAUAUUGCACAAUGGGCGCAAGCCUGAUGCAGCCAUGCCGCGUGUAUGAAGAAGGCCUUCGGGUUGUAAAGUACUUUCAGCGAGGAGGAAGGCAUUGUGGUUAAUAACCGCAGUGAUUGACGUUACUCGCAGAAGAAGCACCGGCUAACUCCGUGCCAGCAGCCGCGGUAAUACGGAGGGUGCAAGCGUUAAUCGGAAUUACUGGGCGUAAAGCGCACGCAGGCGGUCUGUCAAGUCGGAUGUGAAAUCCCCGGGCUCAACCUGGGAACUGCAUUCGAAACUGGCAGGCUAGAGUCUUGUAGAGGGGGGUAGAAUUCCAGGUGUAGCGGUGAAAUGCGUAGAGAUCUGGAGGAAUACCGGUGGCGAAGGCGGCCCCCUGGACAAAGACUGACGCUCAGGUGCA
rnacentral:rRNA from 1 species